AUGAUUGAAAUGAGAACAUAAUAAAAAACUUAACGACUAACAAUUGGAGGCAAGUCUGGUGCCAGCAGCCGCGGUAAUUCCAGCUCCAAGAGUGUAUAUUAAAGUUGUUGCGGUUAAAAAGCUCGUAGUUGAAUUUCUGAAAAUAAUCUUGUGAUUGAUUUAACCGUCAUGAACAAAAAUUGUUUACAUACUUGAUAGAUGGAAACAUUUAUCUUAAUGACUUUGAAAAAAUUAGAGUGUUCAAAGCAUGAUUCACAUUUGAAUAAUACAGCAUGGGAUAAUAUAAUAUGACAUUAGUUAAAAUUUGUUGGUUUCUUUGGCUAAUGUAAUGAUUAAAAGGGACAGUUGGAGUAAUUUAUAUUGGUUGGGGAGGGGUGAAAUCCUAUGAUCCUUCCAAGAUAAACUAGUGCGAAAGCAUUUUACUAGGAUGUUUUCAUUAAUCAAGAACGAAAGUUGGGGG
rnacentral:rRNA from 1 species